UGACGCUGGCGGCAGGCCUAACACAUGCAAGUCGGGCGGUAACAGGGAUAGCUUGCUAUCUGCUGACGAGCGGCGGACGGGUGAGUAAUGCAUAGGAAUCUGCCUGAUAGUGGGGGAUAGCCCAGAGAAAUUUGGAUUAAUACCGCAUACGCCCUACGGGGGAAAGCAGGGGACUCUUCGGAGCCUUGCGCUAUCAGAUGAGCCUAUGUCGGAUUAGCUUGUUGGUGAGGUAACGGCUCACCAAGGCGACGAUCCGUAGCUGGUCUGAGAGGAUGAUCAGCCACACUGGGACUGAGACACGGCCCAGACUCCUACGGGAGGCAGCAGUGGGGAAUAUUGGACAAUGGGCGCAAGCCUGAUCCAGCCAUGCCGCGUGUGUGAAGAAGGCCUUCGGGUUGUAAAGCACUUUCAGCGAGGAGGAAAGGGGAGUUGCUAAUAUCAACGCCCUGUGACGUUACUCGCAGAAGAAGCACCGGCUAACUCCGUGCCAGCAGCCGCGGUAAU
rnacentral:rRNA from 1 species